GUCUCCGUGUCACCUCAACGUCUCCAUCCCAUGUUGACCUGUUCUUGUCACCUGAACGUCUCCAUCCCAUGUUGACCUGUUCUUGUCACCUCAAUGUCUCCAUCCCUUUUGACAUCUCCUUGUCACAUCAUUUUCUCCAUCCCUGUUGACAUCUUGUCACCUCAACAUCUCCAUCCCAUGUUGACCUGUUCUCGUACCCUCAACCUCUCCAUCCCCGUUGACACCUCCAUGUCACCUCAACCACCUUGACAACUCUUUGUCACCUCAGUGUCUCUAAUCCAUGUUGACAUCUUGUCACCUUGACAUCUCCAUCCCAUGUUGCCCUGUUCUUGUACGCUCAACGUCUCCAUCCCCAUUGACACCUCCUUGUCACCUCAACCUCUCCAUCCCUGUUGACACUUCCUUCUCACCUCAACCACCUUGACAUCUCUUUGUCACCUCAACAUCUCCAUCCCAUGUUGGCCUGUUCUUGUCAUUUCAACCUCUCCAUCCCCGUUGACACCCCCUUGUCACCUCAACCUCUCCAUCCCCGUUGACACCCCCAUGUCACCUCAACCUCUCCAUCCCAUGUCUCCUUGUCAUCUCAACGUCUCCCCGGAGUCCCCGCGUCCCCCUUUGCGCCUCCAUGUCCCCGUAUCCCCCCUCGCCCUCCCCGCGCCACCUCGUCCUCUCCAUCCCCUCAGUUCCUGGAGCUCUGCACCCAACUGACGGAGGAGCACCCCGAGGUCAUCCCCUUCCUGUCGGGCCGCCACCAGAAGGCCAGCCCGGACUUCUUGGCCUCGGCCGAGCUGCGCAACGUCCUGGCCCGCUGCCUGGCCCGCGUGCGGGCGCGUCGCAACAAGGUCUACGUCUACAUCAACGAGCUCUGCACCGUCCUCAAGGCCCACACCCUGCGCCGCAAGCUCCCCCUGGCCUCCGCGCCGCCCGCCCCGACGCCGACGCCGCCUCCCGACGCCCCGCAGUCGGCGCCCGAGCCCAGCACCACCACCGCUGCCACCGCCGCCCCGCGGCCGCCCACCGGCUCCAAGCGUCAGAUCCGCUACCUGGAGAACCUGCUGCGGGUCUACACGGGCGAGAUCCGGCGUCUGCAGGAGCGGGAGCUGGACCUGGCCGAGCUGGACAGCGAGGACUCGAGCUACCUGCAGGAGAGCCGGCUGAAGCGCAAGAUGAUGCGCAUCUUCCAGCGCCUCUGCGAGCUCAAGCAGUGCAGCAGCCUGACCGGCCGCGUCAUCGAGCAGCGCAUCGCCUACCGCGGCACCCGCUACCCCGAGGUCAACCGGCGCAUCGAGCGCUUCAUCAACCGCCCCGAGGCCUUCCCCGACUACACCGACAUCCUCAAGGUGAUCCAGAAGGCCAGCGCCCGGCACAGCCUGGGGCUCGCCCGGCGCCAGAUGGAGAGCAUGGCCCAGGACGCCUUCCGCGAGGUGGGCAACCGCCUGCAGGAGCGGCGCCACCUCGACCUCGUCUACAACUUCGGCAGCCACCUGACGGAUCAGUACCGGCCGGGCACGGACCCGGCGCUGGUGGACCCGGAGCUGGCCAAGCGGCUGCGGAAGAACCGCACGGUGGCCCUGACGCGGCUGGACGGGGUGAUCGCGCACUACGCCCAGCUGCAGGACGAGAGCGAGGAGGAGGAGCGCGGGCGCAAGCGGGCGGCGCGGCGCCGGGCGGGAGCCGGGGGAGCCGCGGGGACGGCGGCGGAGCCGGCAGCGGUGGGUGGGGGUUGGGGUGGGGGUGGGGGUGGGAUUGGGGCUGGGAUUGGGGUUGGGAUUGGG
rnacentral:lncRNA from 1 species